GGGGUUGUGGUGAAAUUGGUAGACACACCGGUCUUAGAAGCCGGCGCCGCAAGGCAUCGCAGUUCAAGUCUGCGCAGCCCCA
rnacentral:tRNA from 1 species